AUCUAGCCGAUGAGUCCCUAAUGGGAUGAAAUGCACAUCCUGGAU
rnacentral:hammerhead_ribozyme from 1 species